UACGUAGGGCGCAAGCGUUAUCCGGAAUUAUUGGGCGUAAAGAGCUCGUAGGCGGUUUGUCGCGUCUGCCGUGAAAGUCCGGGGCUCAACUCCGGAUCUGCGGUGGGUACGGGCAAACUAGAGUGAUGUAGGGGAGACUGGAAUUCCUGGUGUAGCGGUGAAAUGCGCAGAUAUCUGGAGGAACACCGGUUGCGAAGGCGACAUCCUGGACCGGUAUUGACGCUGAGGCGCGAAAGCCAGGGGAGCAAACGGG
rnacentral:rRNA from 1 species